UACGGAGGGUGCAAGCGUUGUCCGGAUUUAUUGGGUUUAAAGGGUGCGUAGGCGGCUAUUUAAGUCAGUGGUGAAAUCCUGCAGCUUAACUGUAGAAUUGCCAUCGAUACUGGAUAGCUUGAGUACAGACGAGGUAGGCGGAAUUUAUGGUGUAGCGGUGAAAUGCAUAGAUACCAUAAAGAACACCUAUUGCGAAGGCAGCUUACUAGGCUGUAACUGACACUGAGGCACGAAAGUGUGGGGAUCAAACAGG
rnacentral:rRNA from 1 species